UCGAGGGUAAGUCUGGAAUUCCGCUAGUUCUGAACUAUUCGUGAUUGGUAAAAGUUCACGACUAGCAGAACUCGGAUUUGCCCCCGA
rnacentral:pre_miRNA from 1 species